AUGAUCGGGUGGGGGGACGUGUACAAGGUGGUGGCGGCGACGGCGCCGCUCUACUUCGCGCUGUUCCUGGGCUACGGCUCGGUGCGGUGGUGGCGCAUCUUCACGCGGGAGCAGUGCGACGCCGUGAACCGCCUCGUCGCCUUCUUCGCGCUGCCCUUCUUCACCUUCGAGUUCACGCUGCACACCGACCCAUUCCAGGUCAACUACCGCGCCGUCGCCGCCGACGUCAUCUCCAAGGCCGUCAUCGUCGCCGUCAUCGCCGUCUGGGCCAGGCUCCUCGGCCGGAACGGCGGCGGCAAGGGCGCCGCCGGCUGGUCCAUCACCGGCUUCUCCCUCUCCACGCUCACAAACUCGCUCGUCGUCGGCGUGCCCAUGGCACGCGCCAUGUACGGCGAGUGGGCGCAGCAGCUCGUCGUGCAGCUCUCCGUCUUCCAGGCCAUCGUCUGGCUCACGUUCCUCCUCUUCGUGCUCGAGGUCCGGAAGGCCGCCAUCGGCAUGUACGUCGACGUCGGAAGGAAGAACGUCGUCCACGACGCCGCGAUGCCCGAGUCGCCCAUCAAGGCCGACGUCGAGGCUGCGGCCGGCGGCGGCGCCGUGGCCGUGCUGGUGGUCGGCGGCGCCGAGGAGGUGGGUGGCAAGCCGUCGGUGUGGCGGCUGGUGAAGACGGUGGCGCACAAGCUGGCGCGCAACCCCAACACCUACGCCAGCUUCGUCGGCAUCACCUGGGCCUGUGUUGCCAACAGGCUACACAUGGAGCUGCCAAGUGUCCUGGAGAACUCGGUGCUCAUCAUGUCCAAGUCAGGCACGGGGAUGGCCAUGUUCAGCAUGGGGCUGUUCAUGGCGCAGCAGGAGAAGAUCCUGGCGUGCGGGCCGAGCUAUGCGGCCCUGGGCCUGGCCCUCAAGUUCGGCCUCGGCCCGGUCGCCAUGGCCAUCGGCUCCAUCGCCGUCGGCCUCCGCGGCGACGUCCUCCGGGUCGCCAUCAUACAGGCUGCACUACCUCAAUCAAUCACGUCGUUCAUAUUUGCAAAAGAAUAUGGGCUGCAUGCCGACGUCCUUAGUACUGCGGUGAUUUUUGGGAUGCUUGUCUCCCUGCCAUUGCUAAUAGGACUUUAUAUAGUCUUAGAGCUAAUUAGGUAG
rnacentral:rRNA from 1 species